rnacentral:misc_RNA from 1 species
CCCUGUGGGAGCGGGCUUGCUCGCGAUGGGAUCGCUGCGGUGCAACUGGAGUACCGCAUAGCGGGCAAGCCCGCUCCCACAACA